rnacentral:rRNA from 1 species
GACAGAGGGUGCAAACGUUGCUCGGAAUCACUGGGCGUAAAGCGCACGUAGGCGGAUUGCUAAGUCAGGGGUGAAAUCCUGGAGCUCAACUCCAGAACUGCCUUUGAUACUGUCGACCUUGAGUCCGGGAGAGGGAUGUGGAAUUCCAGGUGUAGCGGUGAAAUGCGUAGAUAUCUGGAGGAACACCGGUGGCGAAGGCGGCAUCCUGGACCGGUAUUGACGCUGAGGCGCGAAAGCCAGGGGAGCAAACGGG